rnacentral:rRNA from 1 species
CCUACGGGAGGCAGCAGUAAGGAAUAUUGGACAAUGCUCGCAAGAGUGAUCCAGCCAUGCCGCGUGCAGGAAGAAUGCCCUAUGGGUAGUAAACUGCUUUUGAACUAGAGAAAACCCCAGUACGUGUACUGGGCUGAUAGUAUAGUUAGAAUAAGCAUCGGCUAACUUCGUGCCAGCAGCCGCGGUAAGACGAAGGAUGCAAGCGUUAUCCGGAUUCAUUGGGUUUAAAGAGAGCGUAGGUGGACUUAUAAGUCAGUGGUGAAAUCUCCGAGCUUAACUCGGAAAUUGCCAUUGAUACUGUAGGUCUUGAGUACAGUUGCUGUGGGCGGAAUAUGACAUGUAGUGGUGAAAUACAUAGAGAUGUCAUAGAACACCGAUUGCGAAGGCAGCUCACAAAGCUGUAACUGACACUGAGGCUCGAAAGUGCGGGGAUCAAACAGGAUUAGAUACCCUGGUAGUCCGCACCGUAAACGAUGAUUACUCGCUGCUAGGGGGCAACCUUUAGUGGCUUAGCGAAAGCGAUAAGUAAUCCACCUGGGGAGUACGCCGGCAACGGUGAAACGUCAAAGGAAUUGACGGCGNGAGAGNGCGACGGCGACGACGAGGGAGGAGG